rnacentral:misc_RNA from 1 species
UCCGGUUUGACACCGGCAGUCUCGCCAGAGUGCCCGGCUUCACCCGUUGGCAACUGACGACAGGGGUUUCGCUCGUUAGGGGACUUAACCCAACACCUCAAGGCACGAGCUGACGACAGCCAUGCAACACCUGUGCUGGUUACACCCGAAGGCAAUCCUCCCGCUUUCACGGGAUUAAUCCCAGCAUGUCAAGCCCUGGUAAGGUUCUUCGCGUUGCUUCGAAUUGAGCAACAUCCUCCACCGCUUGUGUGAGCCCCCGUCAAUUCCUUUGAGUUUUAGCCUUGCGGCCGUACUCCCCAGGCGGGGCGCUUAAUGCGUUAGCUGCGGCACGGAACCCGUGGAAUGGACCCCACACCUAGCGCCCAACGUUUACGGUGUGGACUAC